rnacentral:rRNA from 1 species
AGUGAACGCUGGCGGUAGGCCUAACACAUGCAAGUCGAACGGCAGCACAGUAAGAGCUUGCUCUUACGGGUGGCGAGUGGCGGACGGGUGAGGAAUACAUCGGAAUCUACUUUUUCGUGGGGGCUAACGUAGGGAAACUUACGCUAAUACCGCAUACGACCUACGGGUGAAAGCAGGGGAUCUUCGGACCUUGCGCGAUUGAAUGAGCCGAUGUCGGAUUAGCUAGUUGGCGGGGUAAAGGCCCACCAAGGCGACGAUCCGUAGCUGGUCUGAGAGGAUGAUCAGCCACACUGGAACUGAGACACGGUCCAGACUCCUACGGGAGGCAGCAGUGGGGAAUAUUAGACAAUGGGCGCAAGCCUGAUCCAGCCAUACCGCGUGGGUGAAGAAGGCCUUCGGGUUGUAGAGCCCUUUUGUUGGGAAAGAAAAGCAGCAGGUUAAUACCCCGCUGUUCUGACGGUACCCAAAGAAUAAGCACCGGCUAACUUCGUG